rnacentral:rRNA from 1 species
CCUACGGGAGGCAGCAGUGGGGAAUAUUGGACAAUGGGGGCAACCCUGAUCCAGCCAUGCCGCGUGUGUGAAGAAGGCCCUCGGGUUGUAAAGCACUUUUAGUGAGGAAGAACGCCUGGUGGUUAAUACCCAUCAGGAAAGACAUCACUCACAGAAGAAGCACCGGCUAACUCCGUGCCAGCAGCCGCGGUAAUACGGAGGGUGCGAGCGUUAAUCGGAAUUACUGGGCGUAAAGCGCGCGUAGGUGGCUUGAUAAGCCGGUUGUGAAAGCCCCGGGCUCAACCUGGGAACGGCAUCCGGAACUGUCAAGCUAGAGUGCAGGAGAGGAAGGUAGAAUUCCCGGUGUAGCGGUGAAAUGCGUAGAGAUCGGGAGGAAUACCAGUGGCGAAGGCGGCCUUCUGGACUGACACUGACACUGAGGUGCGAAAGCGUGGGUAGCAAACAGGAUUAGAUACCCUAGUAGUC